rnacentral:rRNA from 1 species
AUACGGAGGAUCCGAGCGUUAUCCGGAUUUAUUGGGUUUAAAGGGUGCGCAGGCGGCCAUUUAAGUCAGCGGUUAAAUCGUGGGGCUCAACCCCAUUCUGCCGUUGAUACUGGGUGGCUUGAUUGCGGUCGAGGUUGGCGGAAUUCGUUGUGUAGCGGUGAAAUGCAUAGAUAUGACGAAGAACACCGAUUGCGUAGGCAUGUGAGCAGAACGCAAAUGACGCUCAUGCACGAGAGUGCGGGGAUCGAACAGGAUUAGAUACCCUGGUCGUCCGCACAGUAAACGAUUAAUACUUGUUUUCAACGAUAUAAUGUCGGAGGCAAAGCGAAAGCGAUAAGUGUUCCACCUGGGGGGUACGCCGGCAACGGUGAAACUGAACGGAAUUGACGGGG